AAGUUGUAACAAGGUUUCCGUAGGUGAACCUGCGGAAGGAUCAUUACCGAGUAAGGGUCCUCAAGGCCCGACCUCCCACCCUUUGUUGUCGAACAAAUUCUGUUGCUUUGGCGGGACCGCUCGGCCUCCGGGCCGGCUGCCGGGUCUCGUACCGGGCAAGCGCCCGCCAGAGUCCAAUAUCAAAACACUUUGUUAAACCUUUUGUCUGAGUAAAUGAUAAAUUAAUCAAAA
rnacentral:misc_RNA from 1 species